rnacentral:rRNA from 1 species
AGAGUUUGAUCCUGGCUCAGAACGAACGCUGGCGGCGUGGAUAAGACAUGCAAGUCGAACGAGAGAAUUGCUAGCUUGCUAAUAAUUCUCUAGUGGCGCACGGGUGAGUAACACGUGAGUAACCUGCCCCCGAGAGCGGGAUAGCCCUGGGAAACUGGGAUUAAUACCGCAUAGUAUCGAAAGAUUAAAGCAGCAAUGCGCUUGGGGAUGGGCUCGCGGCCUAUUAGUUAGUUGGUGAGGUAACGGCUCACCAAGGCGAUGACGGGUAGCCGGUCUGAGAGGAUGUCCGGCCACACUGGAACUGAGACACGGUCCAGACACCUACGGGUGGCAGCAGUCGAGAAUCAUUCACAAUGGGGGAAACCCUGAUGGUGCGACGCCGCGUGGGGGAAUGAAGGUCUUCGGAUUGUAAACCCCUGUCAUGUGGGAGCAAAUUAAAAAGAUAGUACCACAAGAGGAAGAGACGGCUAACUCUGUGCCAGCAGCCGCGGUAAUACAGAGGUCUCAAGCGUUGUUCGGAAUCACUGGGCGUAAAGCGUGCGUAGGCUGUUUCGUAAGUCGUGUGUGAAAGGCGCGGGCUCAACCCGCGGACGGCACAUGAUACUGCGAGACUAGAGUAAUGGAGGGGGAACCGGAAUUCUCGGUGUAGCAGUGAAAUGCGUAGAUAUCGAGAGGAACACUCGUGGCGAAGGCGGGUUCCUGGACAUUAACUGACGCUGAGGCACGAAGGCCAGGGGAGCGAAAGGGAUUAGAUACCCCUGUAGUCCUGGCAGUAAACGGUGCACGCUUGGUGUGCGGGGAAUCGACCCCCUGCGUGCCGGAGCUAACGCGUUAAGCGUGCCGCCUGGGGAGUACGGUCGCAAGAUUAAAACUCAAAGAAAUUGACGGGGACCCGCACAAGCGGUGGAGUAUGUGGCUUAAUUCGAUGCAACGCGAAGAACCUUACCUGGGCUUGACAUGUAAUGAACAACAUGUGAAAGCAUGCGACUCUUCGGAGGCGUUACACAGGUGCUGCAUGGCCGUCGUCAGCUCGUGUCGUGAGAUGUUUGGUUAAGUCCAGCAACGAGCGCAACCCCUGUUGCCAGUUACCAGCACGUGAAGGUGGGGACCCUGGCGAGACUGCCCAGAUCAACUGGGAGGAAGGUGGGGACGACGUCAGGUCAGUAUGGCCCUUAUGCCCAGGGCUGCACACGUACUACAAUGCCCAGUACAGAGGGGGCCGAAGCCGCGGGGCGGAGGAAAUCCUAAAAACUGGGCCCAGUUCGGACUGUAGGCUGCAACCCGCCUACACGAAGCCGGAAUCGCUAGUAAUGGCGGAUCAGCUACGGCGCCGUGAAUACGUUCCCGGGUCUUGCACACACCGCCCGUCA